rnacentral:rRNA from 1 species
AUGAGCUACUACAACCAGCAGCCACCCGUCGGCGCCCCGCCGCCGCAAGGCUACGGGGACAAGGGCGGAUACCCACCGCCGGGGUACCCUCCGGCCGGCUACCCACCCCCGGCGCAGGGCUACCCGCCGGCCGGCUACCCCCAGCAGGGCUACCCGCCGCAGUACGCGCAGCAGCCGCCGCCCCACCAGCAGCAGCAGCAGAGCAGCGGGCCUUCCUUCAUGGAGGGAUGCCUGGCCGCCCUUUGCUGCUGCUGUCUCCUGGACGCCUGCUUCUGA